rnacentral:rRNA from 1 species
CCCGACCGAGACAACGCCGCGUGAGUGAAGAAGGUGUUCGGAUGCGUAAAGCUCUGUUGUAAGAGAAGAACGGGUGUGAGAGUGGAAAGUUCACACUGUGACGGUAUCUUACCAGAAAGGGACGGCUAACUACGUGCCAGCAGCCGCGGUAAUACGUAGGUCCCGAGCGUUGUCCGGAUUUAUUGGGCGUAAAGCGAGCGCAGGCGGUUAGAUAAGUCUGAAGUUAAAGGCUGUGGCUUAACCAUAGUAUGCUUUGGAAACUGUUUAACUUGAGUGCAGAAGGGGAGAGUGGAAUUCCAUGUGUAGCGGUGAAAUGCGUAGAUAUAUGGAGGAACACCGGUGGCGAAAGCGGCUCUCUGGUCUGUAACUGACGCUGAAGCUCGAAAGCGUGGGGAGCAAACAGGAUUAGAUACCCUGGUAGUCCACGCCGUAAACGAUGAGUGCUAGGUGUUAGGCCCUUUCCGGGGCUUAGUGCCGCAGCUAACGCAUUAAGCACUCCGCCUGGGGAGUACGACCGCAAGGUUGAAACUCAAAGGAAUUGACGGGGGGCCGCACAAGCGGUGGAGCAUGUGG